GGGGCCGUGGCGAAAUAGGCAGACGCAACGGACUUAAAAUCCGUUGGGAGCGAUCCCGUGGGGGUUCAAGUCCCCCCGGCCCCACCA
rnacentral:tRNA from 1 species